GGCCUUUCUAGGAGCCAGCUUGCUUUCAUCUUACUGUUUUGAUUGUGCCUCACAAGGGACAACACUCCGAUUGUCUAGGAGGAGGAAGGUCAGGGACAGAAAAGUAAAAGCCAGGAGCAGCCUGUCCUGUCUGCCUGGGCUGCUGGGGAAUGAUUGUCAGUGAAUCGAGUUGUCUGUGGAGCCCCUGAGCAAAUUCUCCCAGUGGCAGCAGAUCUCGCAAAAGGGGAGGAAGGCCUUCACCGCUGAACCCGAGCUUUGCCAUUUCGAAGUGCUGAGUCACCUCGUCCUCUCAGGGUCAGACACUUUCACGCAGGAAACGUCCUGCAGAGCACCGCAGCGGGAGCACCGAGCUGGGUGGUAAUUUAUUCUAGAACCGAUGUGCCAGCGUUUCCUUCUGUGUGCUUUGAGUAGGAGCAGGAACAACGGAUCUCUCCAAGCAUGGGCAGACGGAGAGCUGCAACCCUUGGACCAACCAACGCCUGCCAGUGGGCGCCUGCAUCCCACGCCUGCAUCCCGCGUGCAGGCUACUGGCAGGUGCUCUGUGUCUCACUCCAUCUUUACCUGCCCUGUAAAGGAGGAACUGUUGUUUUUAGUCUCCUGGAGCAGCCGCGCCUUCCCACAGCACUCAGACUUGAGGAAGCUUAAGAAGCUGAGACCAGAGAGGGCGAUGUCCACCUUGGUGACGAAGCACUCUAGAGGCUGCCGCCACACUUAAAAAGUGACCAGUCACCAACAACUCAUCUUAAGUACAGGAAGAAUGCCAGCAGCUGAAUGAAAUUCUUGCUUUCCCUGGUGAACAACGAAGGGGAAGGGAAUGGAGUGUGGUGAAAGAGAGGGCAGAAAGGCUGCCAGUGUCCUCUUCAUCCCUGCCCCACCCCCACCCCCACCCCCCAGCACAGAGAGACCCGGGAAGAUUUCAAAUCUUUCCUUUAAGUGGCGGCUAAGGACAAAAUGAAAUGACUUAGCCACCUAUCAUGGUCUUUACUGAGUUAUAUCCAUGGAUAUAAGAUAAUUUGGCAUCUAAAAAACAAAGACAGGGCCAGUAAAAUGGCUCACUGGGUAAAGGUGCCCGCUGCCAAGCCAGAGCACCUGGGUUUGGUCCUUGGAACUCACACGGUGGGGAGAACAGAUCCCUUCAUGCUGUGUGCUGAUGCCCACAUGCAUGUUAGGAAAACACUUCCAGCCCCCUAAACUAACUUUUUCUAUUCCGUACUCUGCCUGUGACUAGACCUGGAAGGAGAGAACAAGGGCCUUCCUGAGGCAGGACAAGGACCCAGAACUACCCAGAAUGCAGCAGGGCGGCCCCGCACGACUGAGCUCUGAUCCUAACCUGCAAAGUGAAGUUUCAAUUUCCACUUCCUGAGAAGGUCAGGUGUAUAGGUGUGAACCAAGUGCACGUCUAGUUCCCUUGGAGGCCAGAAAGAAGGCGGUGUCAGAUCCCCAGGAACCAUAGUUACAGAUGGUUGAUGUGGAAACUCAGAGAGGAUGCCACUGUUUUGAACUAUUUUGAAGGCACAGCCACCAGAGCUUUAGGUCAGAAGAGGUCCUUGGAACUGGAAUUACAGGUGGCUGUGAGCCUCCAGGUAGGUGCUGAGAAUCAAGCAGCCUGGCUCCUCUGUAGGAGCUCUAAGGAAUGCUCUUACCUGCUGAGCCAUCUGUCCAGCCCUGAUUGUCCUGGCUGUUAAUUGAGGAAGGAAGACUUACUCUGAGGGAGGGCUGAGCCAGUCCCCAGGCUGCUCCCUGAAUGGUAUGUAGAGGAGGGGAGCCAGCUAAGCACUGACCAGCGAGGGUGUGCACAUUUUCUUUGGUCUUUGUUUUGAAUGUGGUGUGGCUGGCUGCUUCAAUUCCUGACUUGAUUUCCUCAAAAGGAUAGGCUGUAACCCAGAAUGGUAAACUGCCUU
rnacentral:lncRNA from 1 species